rnacentral:rRNA from 1 species
UACGUAGGGGGCAAGCGUUGUCCGGAUUUAUUGGGCGUAAAGAGCGUGUAGGCGGCCAGAUAGGUCCGUUGUGAAAACUCGAGGCUCAACCUCGAGACGCCGAUGGAAACCAUUUGGCUAGAGUCCGGAAGAGGAGAGUGGAAUUCCUGGUGUAGCGGUGAAAUGCGCAGAUAUCAGGAGGAACACCGGUGGCGAAGGCGGGUCUCUGGGCCGAUACUGACGCUGAGGAGCGAAAGCGUGGGGAGCAAACAGG